AGCUGUGGCUCUGCCCCCUCCACCUCCCCCCCUCCCCGGGGAUUUCUGCUCCAGAAGAAGCCAUCAUUAGUGACUUAAAUCCCUGUGUUAGUGCCUUUUCUAUUGUGAUAAAACACCAUGACCAAGAGAACCCUGGUUCCAUUACCAGCACCACACGGCAGCUACGCCUGCUUGUACUCCAGCUCCAAGGGUCAGACGCCCUCUUCUGGUCUCUGAAUGAACCUGCACACACACACCACUACCACCAACUACAACAGCAGCAGCAACAGCAACAGCAGCAGCAGCAGCAGCAGGUUUUGGAGCUGGGAGUUAGGGUUCAUGUCUGUAAUCCCAGCAUUAAGGCUGUGUGGUUGCCAUGUGCUUCCAGACAGUCUGGGUGAUGCCAUCAGCUCUAGGCUUGUCUGAGCUUCAGGUGCUUGCUGGCUUGCUUCCCACGGCUUGCUCAGCCUUUCUUACAGACCCAGCCCAGUAAUGGUACCACCCUCAGUGGGCUCUCCCCUAUAAGUCACAAAUUAAGAAAAUGUCCUAAAGGCUUGCCUACAGCCUAGUCUUAUGGAGACAUUUUCUUAAUCGAGGCUCCAACGAUUCUAGCUUAUGUAGGGUUGACAUAAAACUAGCCAGUCCUGGUGGGAACAAAAAGAUGGGCAUAUAAAGGAGACUUGAAUUCUUUAGGUUGGAAGGAUGUGGUGUAGUGAAGUCAGAACUCACAACUGAGCGCACAUGCCCUUUGGCUCCCACCUCACUGCAGCAUCUGCUUGUCCUUUAUCCUUCUCUACCCACCCCAGACCAUGUUAUAAAUGAAGCCAGCCACUGUUAGCCCUGCUCCUUACUGAAGAGUUCCCCCUUGAUCUUUGGAGUCUGCUUUCUUUCCGCUCACUGACUACCCCCCCCCCGCCCCCCAACCAUGGUUCCACAUCAACCUCUAGGAGAACAUUAGAUUGGACAGAGAGAAGUCAGGGAAAUGUUCCAGGUGUCUGAUCUCUUGAAUGUUGUCGCCUCUCUGGUCAGAAACUGAGCAGCACCCAACACUGUUUCUGCC
ensembl:antisense Gm28156 predicted gene 28156